AUUGAACGCUGGCGGCAGGCCUAACACAUGCAAGUCGAGCGGAUGAAGGGAGCUUGCUCCUGGAUUCAGCGGCGGACGGGUGAGUAAUGCCUAGGAAUCUGCCUGGUAGCGGGGGACAACGUUUCGAAAGGAACGCUAAUACCGCAUACGUCCUACGGGAGAAAGCAGGGGACCUUCGGGCCUUGCGCUAUCAGAUGAGCCUAGGUCGGAUUAGCUAGUUGGUGAGGUAAUGGCACACCAAGGCGACGAUCCGUAACUGGUCUGAGAGGAUGAUCAGUCACACUGGAACUGAGACACGGUCCAGACUCCUACGGGAGGCAGCAGAGGGGAAUAUUGGACAAUGGGCGAAAGCCUGAUCCAGCCAUGCCGCGUGUGAAGAAGGUCUUCGGAUUGUAAAGCACUUUAAGUUGGGAGGAAGGGUUGUAGAUUAAUACUCUGCAAUUUUGACGUUACCGACAGAAUAAGCACCGGCUAACUCUGUGCCAGCCGCCGCCGUAAAAC
rnacentral:rRNA from 1 species